CUUCGGGCAACACUGUGUCCACGGCACAGCCGAGGGAACCGAGGUCCAGACGCAGAGGGCGGGCUUCUUACUUUCCAGGAGCUGGCUGGCGGAAGCGGCGUGACCGUGGUCAGCGUGGGCACCUCCUUCUGCAGCGCCAAGAAAAAGAGUCCAGACCAGGGCCGCCCAAUGAAAAGUAAGCCUGGGAAUUCCUGAGUUUGAGUGACGGCACACGCAGUGCUGAUGGCCACAUUUCAGCGCUCAGCCACGUGGCUGUGGGUAGGACAGCACAGUCUAUAUGGUCUGGAUCGUAUGCUCU